rnacentral:rRNA from 1 species
UACGUAGGGGGCUAGCGUUGUCCGGAAUCAUUGGGCGUAAAGCGCGUGUAGGCGGUUCGGUAAGUCCGCUGUGAAAGUCGGGGGCUCAACCCUCGAAUGCCGGUGGAUACUGUCGGACUAGAGUACGGAAGAGGCGAGUGGAAUUCCGAGUGUAGAGGUGAAAUUCGUAGAUAUUCGGAGGAACACCAGUGGCGAAGGCGGCUCACUGGUCCAUUACUGACGCUGAGGUGCGAAAGCGUGGGGAGCAAACAGG